rnacentral:rRNA from 1 species
AGAGUUUGAUCAUGGCUCAGAACGAACGCUGGCGGCAGGCUUAACACAUGCAAGUCGAACGCUCGUAGCAAUACGGGAGUGGCAGACGGGUGAGUAACGCGUGGGAACAUACCCUCCGGUUCGGAAUAGCUCAGGGAAACUUGGAUUAAUACCGGAUACGGCCGAGAGGCGAAAGAUUUAUCGCCGGAGGAUUGGCCCGCGUUCGAUUAGCUAGUUGGUGAGGUAACGGCUCACCAAGGCGAUGAUCGAUAGCUGGUCUGAGAGGAUGAUCAGCCACAUUGGGACUGAGACACGGCCCAAACUCCUACGGGAGGCAGCAGUGGGGAAUAUUGGACAAUGGGCGCAAGCCUGAUCCAGCCAUGCCGCGUGAGUGAUGACGGCCUUAGGGUUGUAAAGCUCUUUCGCUCGGGACGAUAAUGACGGUACCGAGAUAAGAAGCCCCGGCUAACUUCGUGCCAGCAGCCGCGGUAAUACGAAGGGGGCUAGCGUUGUUCGGAAUUACUGGGCGUAAAGCGCGUGUAGGCGGGUCUUUAAGUCAGGGGUGAAAUGCCAAGGCUCAACCUUGGAACUGCCUUUGAUACUGGAGAUCUUGAGUCCGAGAGAGGUGAGUGGAAUUGCGAGUGUAGAGGUGAAAUUCGUAGAUAUUCGCAAGAACACCAGUGGCGAAGGCGGCUCACUGGCUCGGAACUGACGCUGAGACGCGAAAGCGUGGGGAGCAAACAGGAUUAGAUACCCCGGUAGUCC